rnacentral:misc_RNA from 1 species
GAUGAAGAACGCAGCGAAAUGCGAUAAGUAAUGUGAAUUGCAGAAUUCAGUGAAUCAUCGAAUCUUUGAACGCACAUUGCGCCCCCUGGUAUUCCGGGGGGCAUGCCUGUCCGAGCGUCAUUGCAACCCUCAAGCGCGGCUUGUGUGUUGGGCUUCGUCCCCCCGUGGACGUGCCCGAAAGGCAGUGGCGGCGUCCCGAAUGGUGCCCGAGCGUAUGGGAACUCUCUUCCGCUCGAACCGGCCCAUUCGGCGCUGGUCGAACCCCAAUUUUUUUUUACCGGUUGACCUCGGAUCAGGUAGGGAUACCCGCUGAACUUAAGCAUAUCAAUAAGCGGAGGA